GACGAACGCUGGCGGCGUGCUUAACACAUGCAAGUCGAACGGAAAGGCCCUGCUUUUGUGGGGUGCUCGAGUGGCGAACGGGUGAGUAACACGUGAGUAACCUGCCCUUGACUUUGGGAUAACUUCAGGAAACUGGGGCUAAUACCGGAUAGGAGCUCCUGCUGCAUGGUGGGGGUUGGAAAGUUUCGGCGGUUGGGGAUGGACUCGCGGCUUAUCAGCUUGUUGGUGGGGUAGUGGCUUACCAAGGCUUUGACGGGUAGCCGGGCUGAGAGGGUGACCGGCCACAUUGGGACUGAGAUGCGGCCCAGACUCCUACGGGAGGCAGCGGUGGGGAAUAUUGCACAAUGGGCGGAAGCCUGAUGCAGCAACGCCGCGUGCGGGAUGACGGCCUUCGGGUUGUAAACCGCUUUCGCCUGUGACGAAGCGUGAGUGACGGUAAUGGGUAAAGAAGCACCGGCUAACUACGUG
rnacentral:rRNA from 1 species